rnacentral:rRNA from 1 species
UCGAGAAUCUUUCACAAUGGGGGCAACCCUGAUGGAGCGACGCCGCGUGGAGGAUAAGGUCUUCGGAUUGUAAACUCCUGUCAUGCGUGAACAAGGCAGCCGGGCUAAUAACCUGAGCUGAUUGAUGGUAACGCAAGAGGAAGAGACGGCUAACUCUGUGCCAGCAGCCGCGGUAAUACAGAGGUCUCAAGCGUUGUUCGGAAUCACUGGGCGUAAAGGGUGCGUAGGUGGCGUGGUAAGUCAGAUGUGAAAGCCCGGGGCUCAACCUCGGAAUUGCAUCCGAUACUGCCGUGCUAGAGUACUGAAGAGGUGACUAGAAUUCUAGGUGUAGCAGUGAAAUGCGUAGAUAUCUAGAGGAAUACCAAAGGCGUAGGCAGGUCACUGGGCAGUUACUGACACU